GACGUCACGGCCCCGCCGGCCCCGCGCGGCACCGGGCAGAGCGCGUGCGGCCGCCGCCGAGCACAUGGGCCCGCGGGCCGGCGGGCUCGGGGCGCCCCGGACCGGGCCGGACCGGGCGGAGCAGCCGGGGGCCGCGGGCUGGGACGGCCCCGCUCCCCCCGGGCGCCCCCCGGGUGGAUUUCCACGCGGAGAGGAUGUCUGCCGGCCGCCCCGGGGACACGGCCCGGAGCACCUUCCUUCCCGCCUGAUCUUGGGACCACAAAGGAGUGAAGGAGAUCCGCCCCCGCUACCCCCCGCCCCACGGCCGUAGGGGUCAGCUGCGUGGAGCGUCCCGCGAGGAGGUCCCACACCGAGUGGAUUUACAGUGACGCCCGCCCCGCCGCCGCUGCAGGAUAGCGCUGGCGGCAGGUCCCUGGGCUUCCCCACCGCUGGAUGCACAAGGUCUGGGAAGCCUGGCUGCAGCGCCGGGCCUCAGGAUUCCGCAGCCGGGCUGCCCGAGGCAGACAGACGGAUGGACGGAGGACCCCAGCUUCCUGAACUCCUCUCGUCUUGGGUCUCUCCAGCUCCUGGUGGGGCCCCACAGAAACAAUCCUGGGAUUUAGGAGCCUUUCGCCUGGACACACGCCUGUCUGCUCAGCACUCCGGAGGGCCCCGAGGGCCGGCCUUCCCUGACGCCUGGAGCUCGGAGGAGGGAGCGCGGCCGGGCCCUGGCAGCGGCGUGGCUUCAGACGGCAUGCCCCUUCCCUUGGGACCGUCCUCUUCCUGCAAAUCAGGACAGCUGAGUGCCACCCCCGGCUGACUGCCAUUUUUGACCUGCGGUUGGUUGAAUGGAUGGAUGCAGCACCUGAGAAUGUAGAGGGCGGACUUUAAACUGCUGCUAAAUUUCUCCCUGCUGAUGUGUCUGGGCUGAUGAGGCACUUUCUGCACCGGCUCAAGGCCUGAGUCAUUUCAUGAAGGGAGUGCUCUGCAUUGGCCCUGUUCCAGCCAACAGCUGCAAGGUGCUGGACUGAAGCAGGGCCCUGUGCAAGGCGCUGGGGAGUGGGAUAUGAAUAAGGCAUGGCUGUCCUCUGGAAGGAGUGACUCUUCAUUGAGAAGCCAGAUCUGAGAGCAGCUCGUCGUGCUGGGCAUAAGAGCCACAGGUUGUUUCAACUUUGUCAGCUCUUACUUGCUGUGUGGCUUCAGCCUACCUUCAAGUCUUCAGCUCUUGAAGCUACGGCCAAGUGUGAGCAGAGACACGCCGAGUCUAUCUGGGGCCAUCAGUGCAAUGAUUCUGAGUUGCAGACUCAGGUGGGAUUGCAGCCAGGAAGAAGGGAGAUGCCAUGGGAAAGAUGUCAGCUACAGGACCUCCAGCUGCCAUGUCAGGAAUAUGCUCUGGAAGCCUCUGGUGAAACCCACCGAGUGAGAUCCGAGACCUACAACCACAUGCGUACACUUGGAAGGGGACCUUCUGAGACUGCCAACAGCCAUGCAUGGGAGCUCGGAAAGAAAGUCUCCAGCCUCACUGAGCCUUGAGAUCACUGUAGCUGUCACUAACCCCGCACUGCCACUUCAUGAACACCCAGGGCCAAUGGCAUCCUGCUAAGCAGUGACCAGAUUCCUGACCCCCAAAACUGUGAGGCAAUAGGUGCCCGUGAUCCGAAGUUGCUAAUCAUUGAAGUAGUUUGUUGUAAAUAGAUCAUUGAUACAGCUUCCUACAAUAGUUGGUCACUGAUAACUUUCUAUACGUUUUCCUUUCACCUCCUUUCCAUAGAUCACCCUAGCCUUCUCUCAGGUAACACCUGUUCAGAGAAUGGAAUUUGAGAAUAGUGUGGUAUUAAAUGAUUGACGCUUCCAAAAGUUCUAAACCAAGCAUGUCAAACUUGAGGUACUUUUGUUAAUGUCAUGAACUUGGAUUAAACCCCCAAAGAACCGGUUUACUGUCUUUCGAUGGAUAUAGGAAUAAUAAGUAAUUUUCAGAUUAAAAAUUUAUUCAAAUCAAGGUUCCUACACCACUAUAAAAAAAGAAAGAAAUACAACUUUGGAAAAUUAUCAGAAAUAACUGUUUCAUCUUCUACCCUCUGAACUCCAUGUUUUCCAGGUUCUAUAAAAAAAUUGAGCUGCUGUGCUAUAGAGAUAUGUUACAAAGCACAAAUAUCUCCUCUGCAUCCUCACCCUACGACAUAAAACAAUGCAUCAUGUUGUCUAUGAGCUCUGGGGACUAUCUUGGUUGCCCUGAAACUUACUUUGGCUUCUGACUUAGGCUACAGCUGACUCACAGUUUCAUAACAUUGGUCUUACUGACUUGUGAAUCACACAGGCCAAUAAUAUCAAUUAUAAUAAAGCCUUUUUAAUUGAGCUGGUCAAAAACAGAAGGGACAAGUGCUCAGAAUAAAUGAUUCUGGAGAGUUUCAAUACUCAGCUCUAUGUUUUGUUACCAGUAGACAAUGAAAAAUGGUCACCAAUUUCAAUGAUAUUAUUUAUGAUGUUAUUAUUAUAGAAGAGGGUAUGGAGGAUAAAUGGAGAAAGAAGAAAACUAGACCUGGGAUGGGAUGGUGAACACACAAUACAAUAUAUAGAUGAUGUACUAUAGAGUUGUACUCCUGAAAUCUAUAUCAUUUAUUAACCCUUGUCACCCCAAUAAAUUCAAU